GGCCCAGAUCGUUUACCGUGAAAAAAUUAGAGUGUUCAAAGCAGGCAGAUCCAAUUUUCUGCCACCGAAUACAUUAGCAUGGGAUAAUGGAAUAGGACCCUGUCCUCCUAUUUUCAGUUGGUUUUGGCAGCGCGAGGACUAGGGUAAUGAUUAAUAGGGAUAGUUGGGGGCAUUAAUAUUUAAUUGUCAGAGGUGAAAUUCUUGGAUUUAUGAAAGAUUAACUUCUGCGAAAGCAUCUGCCAAGGAUGUUUUCAUUAAUCAAGAACGAAAGUUAGGGGAUCGAAGACGAUCAGAUACCGUCGUAGUCUUAACCAUAAACGAUGCCGACCAGCGAUUAGGAGACGUUGAAUACAAAACACCACCAUCGGUGCGGUCAUCCUUGGCGUUGGUCUUCAAAAGCCAGCGCGGGGGUGGCUUAGCCCGGUGGCACCGGUGAA
rnacentral:rRNA from 1 species